AUGGGCUAUGUCAGAAAGGGAAUGCACAGGAGAGCUAGGUGGGCGGUAGAUUCCUGCAACAAUGAUGGAUUUACUGAACGGGAUCUCAAUUGUGCCAGAAAGGAAAUCAAAGAUGGCAGGAGGACUAAGGUUUUGUAAAGGGGUAAACUUUAUGGAAUUGUCAACAUAAAUAACAAUGCCUCCUCCUCUCUUUGCUCUGUCA